rnacentral:tRNA from 1 species
GGUAUAAUGGCUGAUGAUAAGCGAUAAAUUGUAAAUUUAUUUAUGAACUAAAGUUCUUUUACCA